CUAAACGCAAUUUAUCAACAACUCAGAUGCAGUGAAUACAUUAGUUUUACAGAGACUAUUACUUCUUCCCAAAGAAUACCUGAAACACACGCCCUUCAUAAAGUUCCCAUAAGUUAAUCGUCUACAUACAUCCACAUAGUAUUUCAUGGAAGGUGAUUGCUUCAAGAAUUCUUUUAUUUAUAUGAUUCAUGACUACAAUAAGCCUUUGCAGCCGCUAUGCCAAAACUCAUAAUCACUGGCCAGAGCAGCUACAUGCUUGAAACAACUAACUAUAAAUUUCAAAGAAGAAAUCAGGAUUAAUCUACAGCACGAGUUGUUGCAUGCGUUGGACAUGCCAAUUUAUAUGCUCCCUAUUACCCUCAAGAAGGAAAAAAAGAAUUAUUCCUUUUUGCCGCAGUAGUAAUGCAAUCCAGGAACUCAUCACCUUUUCCUAUUUAUUCUGAAGCAGUACUUUAGGAUUCCCUUCCUCUAACAAAGAAAACCAAAAGCCAUUUAGUCCGUGUUUAUCGCUUGGAACAUGAAAAUGACAUUGGGCUAUGCUUUAAGGUAGAAACAUCAAAUAACUCCAUGAACCUUUGAUCUGAAACCCUAGCCUUGGCAGCUGCAAACCUCUGGUACUCGUCGAAGAUGGAUGAUAGGCACCACCUUUGCAAUUUUCUAAAGCAACCCACAACACAACCAGUUCGGUGCUUCCCUCGUUUACAAUGUAUCAAAACUGGGUGAUUCCUCAUAUCAAGGACAACUUUUAAUGCUUCGCGAAUUGUGUCCUCUGGAAUGUUUACAAAAGGCUCCUGGAUAAUUAAAAUUAUCAGUUGGCAACAAAGGAAAAUUUUCCAAAGAUCAUUAAAAUCAAAACGUUAAAAAUAAAGACCUUUACCUAUUAAUAUUUUACUCUCAAAAUAAUUAAGAAAUAGAAACCAUAACUAUCAAACAAUAUCUUCAAGAAUUAUAUAUUGGAAACAAACAUGCAGAUGAUGCAAAGUUAUCUCAUCAAAACUCAUGCUCCCAUCAGCCCUCAACUUAUUGUCUCUAUAUUAUUCAGCCAACUAUAUGACCAACACAAACCUUGUGAUUGUUUUUUGGUUCCAUAUUAGCCAGCUCAAUAGCAUAUUUAUGCUGAUAUUAAUAAAUCUCAGCUUGGCUUAGCCUUAUGCUUACUCAAUCUCCAACUGUCUACUUCACAUGCACAGCAGUAUAUUCAUGCUAAUAAUAAGUAAUGGUACAAUUAUUAUUGGCUAAGUCAAUUCUUAGGCUUACUACACCAUCUCCAGCUGUCUUCUGAAUACUUUCUGCCCCUCCAAGAUAUCUGCUGGCACAAUUGUGUUACAUCAAUUUAGCCAAAAUUAUCCAGUGCAUUCUUGUUUUUUCACAAGACAAACUUUUUACAAAGUUGAAAGUUGCCUCAAGCAAUACCAUAUCUUAAGCAAUACUCACUCAUCUGUCCACUGGGUUAUAAUUUAUUGUUAUUAACCACUAGUGGUGUGGACAUUUGUUAUGAUCCUAGUUGGACAAUGUAUGGGACUUGGAAUCCCAAAUAGAAAGUAUGAGAUUUCAAUGUGGAGUUCAAAUAGACUUGCACUCUCCCACCUCAAUAGCUAGCUUUUGGAGUGUGGCUAUAGUAAGUCUAUAACAAUUGAUACCAAAGUUGAUCAGUGCCUGUGCACAGCCAGAGACUUGAAAAUGGGUACCCAGCAGGCCAGAUUAAAAUCACUGGCAGCUUUGUCAAACUCAGAAGGGGGUACCCUACAAGCGAGAUUAAAAUUAACAGUAGCCUCAUGAAAAAAAUAUCUCGAACCCAGCCAGUGUCAGUAGCAGUAAGAGCUGCCAAGGACAUUGGGUGUGCAUCUGCAAGGGAAUUUUAUGAUUCUAGUUGGGCAAGUUAUGGGACUUGGAAGUGCAAAUUGAAAGUAUGAGAUUUCAAUAUGGGGUUUAAAUGGACUUGGGCUCUCCUACCUGAAUAACUAGCUUUUGGAGUGUGAUUCUCCGAAGUCCAUAAUAUCAUUCUUCCUAUUCUCCUGCAACUAUAUGAUUACAGUGUAUAGCACUCAUUACCAUCAUGGAAAGCAACGGUACAAAGAAUGACAUUUUUCCUUACAUAUUGGUUAGAUAUUGACAAUGCAUCUAUGAUAAUUGCUGAGAGUUUGACUGGCAGGCUUGAGGACUAAAAAGCAGUCACUGACUCACUGCAGGCAAAAUAUUGAAGAUGAAAACUCCCCCUAGAGUUGAACUUUGCUUUGUGAUUGGGUAAUAGCUUAAAAAUGCAAGUUAAAGCUAAGAGAUGUCCUUGGCACAUAAGGUAUACCAACCAGGGAAGAAAAAAAUUAGCAAACUUCAUGUUAGCACUCGAAUUUCCACAUAAGCAUGACAUGAGAAGUGCAAAGUUAACUCAACUCAACUAAGCCUUU
rnacentral:misc_RNA from 1 species